GGAAGAUUAGCUCAGCUGGGAGAGCGUUGCCGCCAAGCAAAUGUCACGGGUUCGAGUCCCUUAUCUUCCACCA
rnacentral:tRNA from 1 species